rnacentral:rRNA from 1 species
GAUGAACGCUGGCGGCGUGCCUAAUACCUGCAAGUCGAGCGAACAGACGAGGAGCUUGCUCCUCUGACGUUAGCGGCGGACGGGUGAGUAACACGUGGAUAACCUACCUAUAAGACUGGGAUAACUUCGGGAAACCGGAGCUAAUACCGGAUAAUAUAUUGAACCGCAUGGUUCAAUAGUGAAAGACGGUUUUGCUGUCACUUAUAGAUGGAUCCGCGCCGCAUUAGCUAGUUGGUAAGGUAACGGCUUACCAAGGCAACGAUGCGUAGCCGACCUGAGAGGGUGAUCGGCCACACUGGAACUGAGACACGGUCCAGACUCCUACGGGAGGCAGCAGUAGGGAAUCUUCCGCAAUGGGCGAAAGCCUGACGGAGCAACGCCGCGUGAGUGAUGAAGGUCUUCGGAUCGUAAAACUCUGUUAUUAGGGAAGAACAAAUGUGUAAGUAACUAUGCACGUCUUGACGGUACCUAAUCAGAAAGCCACGGCUAACUACGUG